UACGGGGGGGGCAAGCGUUGUUCGGAAUUACUGGGCGUAAAGGGCUCGUAGGCGGCCAACUAAGUCAGACGUGAAAUCCCUCGGCUUAACCGGGGAACUGCUUCUGAUACUGGAUGGCUUGAGGUUGGGAGAGGGAUGCGGAAUUCCAGGUGUAGCGGUGAAAUGCGUAGAUAUCUGGAGGAACACCGGUGGCGAAGGCGGCAUCCUGGACCAAUUCUGACGCUGAGGAGCGAAAGCCAGGGGAGCAAACGGG
rnacentral:rRNA from 1 species